GUUCAUACUGAGUAAUGUCGUAUCAUAUUGAUAUCUUGAAAUUGAAUAUGGUGGAAUAUUUACAGCAUGGAAAUUGGCAAAUGAUACAAGCUACAAAUGCACCCCCUUCCCCACCCCAGCCAUUUGUUAAACAUUUAUCAGCACACCACUGCUUAAGGACUAAGAGUUCUGAAUAGCCAUCACUGGAUCUUUACUCAUGAAGGAAAAUAAUCUGGUGAGGCUCUCCUGAACUAGCAAACACUUCGAAUAUGAUGGACUACUGCGUCUGCCACAUCCUGCCAGACAGCUCUGACUGCAGUUGAUUGCCAUACUCCUUCACCUUAAUAAGAAAACUACUGAAAAGAGCAGAAAAUGGCCCAGCUCCUGCAUCUCUCAUGCAAAACAUCUGUCAGCACCUCUGGGUAUCUUUCCCACUCCUGCUCCUGUAAAUUUUGCUAGUCAUUCUAUAGAGUAGAUGAAUACCACCUGGCUGGUAGCAAGGACAAAUAGAAUGGUAUGGACUGAAGGCCCUCAGGCAGUCCCUCCGUAAAUAAAAACUAGGCUCAGUUA